CCAAUAGCGUAUAUUAAAGUUGCUGCAGUUAAAAAGCUCGUAGUUGAAUUUCGGGACCAUCAUGUCGGUCGUGCCUCGGUACGUACUGGCAUUGUUGGUUUCUCCCUUCUGACGAACCAUGAUGUCAUUUAUUUGGUGUUGUGGGGAAUCAGGACUGUUACUUUGAAAAAAUUAGAGUGUUUAAAGCAGGCUCACGCUUGAAUACAUUAGCAUGGAAUAAUGAAAUAGGACGUUUGAUUCUAUUUUGUUGGUUUCUAGGAUCGACGUAAUGAUUAAUAGGGAUAGUUGGGGGCAUUAGUAUUCAAUUGUCAGAGGUGAAAUUCUUGGAUUUAUUGAAGACUAACUACUGCGAAAGCAUUUGCCAAGGAUGUUUCCAUUAAUCAAGAACGAAAGUUAGGGGAUCGAAGACGAUCAGAUACCGUCGUAGUCUUAACCAUAAACUAUGCCGACUAGGGAUCGGAUGAUGUUAAUUUUUUAAUGACUCAUUCGGCGCCUUACG
rnacentral:rRNA from 1 species